UACAGAGGUCCCAAGCGUUGUUCGGAUUCAUUGGGCGUAAAGGGUGCGUAGGCGGCGCGGUAAGUCGGGUGUGAAAUCUCGGAGCUUAACUCCGAAACUGCAUUCGAUACUGCCGUGCUUGAGGACCGGAGAGGAGACUGGAAUUUACGGUGUAGCGGUGAAAUGCGUAGAUAUCGUAAGGAAGACCAGUGGCGAAGGCGGGUCUCUGGACAGUUCCUGACGCUGAGGCACGAAGGUCAGGGGAGCAAACGGG
rnacentral:rRNA from 1 species